rnacentral:tRNA from 5 species
AUUUAUAUAGUGUAAAAAAAACAUUUUAUUUUCAUUAAAAAAAUAAUAAUUUAUUUAUUUAUAAAUU